UCCUGUGAGAACAGGGAGCACUUCCUAGAAAUGUCGAGGCGUGGGAGUUGCCCCGGUGCCUCGCGUCCACCGGGGCAGCGCCCAGGCCACCCCGGAGCACAGGGAUUGAGAGCAUUGGGCGGCAGAAGAAUAACUGAAAAUGCCCGCAAGGAAGACUGGACGGCUUGGAACUCAUUUCUGUAUUGCGAAUGGUCAAGCGGAAUCACCCUGGGUUACAGGGCAAUUGCAGUUGAGAGGACUGCAACGCAGGCGUAACAAACCACCGGAGAACACUCGCCGCGCAGUUUCCUUCUAGCCCCGUCAUUGAGUGCAAGAUCGCGGCUCCUUCAUCUUCCUGAUGAGUAAGUAAGCGAACACGAGACUGCACCGGUGCAAAACAACAACAAAAGCAAACGCUGCCGUCAAGUCCCUUCCAAGUCUAUAUUGAUCCCAGAAGGCAGGGCGGGCGGCUUCCGUGGGUUUCUGAGAUAACUUGCUACAGGAGUAAAAGAAAACCUCAUCUUUCUCCCAUAGAGCUGCUGGCUGUUUCAAACUGUAGGCUUUGUCAUUAGCAGUCUAACAUGCAAGAUUUAGCAAAUUCCUUACCUUAUUUUUUUAUUUAACUCCUCCCUAUUUGGAAGGGACUGUUGUCCCUGUAGCCCAUUCAGGCGCACACACACACACACAC